AUCAACGCUGGCGGCGUGCCUAACACAUGCAGGUCGAACGAGAAAGCGGGGGCAACUCCGUGAGUAAAGUGGCGAACCGGGUGAGUAACACGUGACCAAUCUACCCUCGAGUGGUGGAUAACUCCGGGAAACCGGAGCUAAUACCGCAUACAUCUUUGGGGCGCACGCUCUGAUGAUCAAAGGGACAAUUCGCUGGAGGAGGAAGGUCGCGGCGAUUAGCUAGUGUUGUAGGGUAAUGGGCCUACCAAGGCAAAGAUCGGUAGCGGCUCCUGAGAGGGCGCACGGCCACACUGGAACUGAAACACGGUCCAGACUCCUACGGAUGGCUAGCAGUGGGAAUUUUGCGCGCAAUGGGGGAAACCCUGACGCAGCAACGCCGCCGUGGAGGAUGAAGUCCCUUGGGACGUAAACUCCUUUCGACCCGGAAGGAUAAUGACGGUACGGGUGAAGAAGCACCGGCUAACUCUAGUGCCAGCAGCCGCGAGUAAUACAGAGGGUGCGAGCGUUGUUACGGAAUUAUUGGGCGUAAAGGGCGGCGUAGGCGGUGCGGGUAAAAGCACCUGUGAAAUCUCCCGGCUCAACUGGGAGCUUGCAGACGAAACUGCCGUGCUGGAUGUGGGAGAGGUUGCGUGGGAUUCCCGGUGUAGCGGUGAAAUGCGUAGAUAUCGGGAGGAACACCUGUGGCCGAAAGCGCGCACUGGACCACAACUGACGCUGAGGCGCGAAAGCUAGGCAGGAGCAAACAAGGACUAGAUAACCCCCUGCCGUAGUCCUGGCCCUAAACGAUGAAUGCUGGUGUAGGCGGGUAUCGUCCCUGCCCAGCGUGCCGAGCUAAGAACGCAUUAAGCAUAUCCCGCCUGGGGAGUACGGUCGCAAGGCUGGAACUCAAGGAAUGACGGGGGCCCCGCACAAGCGGUGGAGCAUGUGGUUAAUUAUUCGACGCAACGCGAAGAACCUUACCCAUGGGCUUGAAGCUGCAGUAGAGCAUCCGGGUGGACAAGUAUCCCUUUCCUAAGGACGGAUCUGUAGGACUGCUGCGGAGGUGCUGCUGGCUUGUCGUCAGCCUCGUGUUCGUGAGAUGUUGGGAUUAAGUCCCGCAACGAGCGCAAACCCCUGUCCUUCUAGUUAGCCAGCGAGGUUAAGUGCCGGGCACUCUAGCUGAAACCGCCCCGGUGACUAACCGGGAGGAAGGUGGGAUGACGUCAAGUCCAUCAUGGCCUUUAUUGUCCUAGGGCCUACACACGUGCUACAAUGGCGAGGUACAAACCGUCGCGAAACCGCUGAGGGGGAGCUAAUCGGAUAAAAGCCGUGGCUCAGUUCGGAUGGCGUCUGCAACUCGCCGGCCAUGAAGUUGGAAUCGCUAGUAAUCGCAGGAUCCAGCACGCCGCGGUGAAUACGUUCCCGGGCCUUGUACAGACCCGCCUCGUCAACACACGAAAGCUGGCUGCACUAGAAGGAGCGGUGAGCUAACCCGCAAGGAGGGCAGAGUUACUAAGGUAUGGUCCAUGAUUGGGGGU
rnacentral:rRNA from 1 species